ensembl:snRNA U6 U6 spliceosomal RNA
GUGCUUGCUUGGGCAGCACAUACACUAAAAUUGGAAUGAUACAGAGAAGAUAAGCAUGGCCCCU